rfam:Danio rerio chromosome 4, GRCz11 reference primary assembly.
GCAUUGGUGGUUCAGUGGUAGAAUUCUCGCCUGCCACGCGGGAGACCCGGGUCCCAUUCCCGGCCAAUGCA